rnacentral:lncRNA from 1 species
UUCCUCCGGAUGCAGGUGGUGAGUGAGGCCACCUGUCAGAUCCUCUGGUGAAAGAACCGCCCCAGUCAAUCAGAAGCCCAAGAAUGAUGUCAUCGCCACCUUCUGCUGGGGUUCCACAUCUGGCUGGUUACCAUGGCGAGCAAUUGCUCAGAGGACAGCCCAAAGAGAAACACUGUAAGGAUGGAAAGUCUAGGCCAGCAGGCCCAGGGGAGAGGCGUGGGAAUCCCAGGGCUCGGCCCCAGAAACCACUGAGACCCAGGCCCCUCCUACACACACUGCAUCUGUCCCACCCCUAGGGCAGCCCCGGAGCAGCUGAGGAGCCACAGAUAGCACGCCAGGACCUGGGCAAGAGAAGCCGUUCUCGAUGGGCGCCUCUCCACCUCUGCCCUGUGCUGCUGUCCUUAGAGCGCUGGCCCUGAUCCGCCUGCCUGUACCCUUGCCAGGGAUCCACAAGUCACCUAAGGGGAAAUGACACGGUGCUGAGUGUUCCCUGUCAGAGGCUGCCAGCCCAGUGGAUCAUCACGAGAAACUACACACGCAAGUCCGCAGUCACCCCUGGCCACAAAAACACCCGACUGUGAAGGGAGUUGAAGAGUCACACUGGAGAGGUUUGAAGACAGAGGCCACGUCGGGGCAGGCCCUGGAAACGUGUUUUCAGGGGGUUCUGCCAUGGCCGGCGUGUGGGUUACUGAGCCGUGUUACGCAGUCUCUGGAAGGCCUGGCCCCACGCAGUCCCAGUGCCAGGACUGUCGCUUGGACAGCGCGCUCCCUCGUGGUCCCCUUCUGCCCACGUGGAGCAGCAGUGGCUCUCAAGAGGCCAUCCAGCCCAGGGUUCAAAAGCCCCGUCAUUUCAGCUUCAGCAACAACCUCAGUCGGUCUGGACCCUGCUUGUGUCCGUCUCCUGCCCAUCUCCACCUCCCGGAGGACCCUCCAGCCACAGAGAAGCACCCUCGCACUUCCCAGAUGGGCCCUCCUUCCGCCCGCAGGUCUUUCUUCCCCAUCGCCCCCUCUGUCCACGUCAGGGCUGUGUUAAAGCCACUGACAUGUCACUGGAAAUGCACGGAGUUGGGAAAAUUGCAUGGACUAGAGCUUCUCUUGGGGAGAACACUGCAUGUGGUUCAAAGGAAGUCUUGGACAAGACACUCAGAGAGGAGUACUCAUCCCAGUGCUCAGCCCAAAGUGUGUCCCCUGGAGUGUUCGUGAUGGCCGCAGGGGCUCUUAACCUGAGUCAGCAGAGGACACCUCAUUACGCCCACACACGGCCUGAGGUGCACGUACUUAGAGACCCUAUUUCCAGAUAAGGUCACGUUCCCAGGAACCAGAGAUGAGGACUUGGACAUUGGCCAUUUACUGAGGACCUUCUAUGUUCCAGAGAAGGCCAGGCCUGCCACUGGGAAGAAGUGGGAGUAGCUGGCUAUCUGGAGCUCCAGCUGUGACGUGAGCCCAAGGUGGGACGGGCCACAGUCCGAGGCUGGGCCUGCUGCUGCCCUCCCUCUCCUCGUCCUGAGCCCCCAAAGAGCAGGGUGGAGCCCCAAUGGAAGUGACACCAUUGAGAAUAGAAGACUAUCCCCAUCUUCAAUUGGGGGUAGAAGUUUGGACAGAGCAGGACGUGCUUUGGGAGAGAAGCGAUGUCAUCGAACUCCAGCAACUAUUUGGUGAAACCCCAGAUGGAUGCUGCCUUCUAGAUCAGAGAUCUAAAACCUUCAUGUGUAUAUGCAUCACCUGGAGGGCCUGUCAAACCACGGAGUCCUGGGCCUGAGCCCGGAGCUUCUGAUUCGGCAGGUCUGGGGUGGGGCCUGAGGUUCUGCGUCUCUCAGAUGCUGGCUGCGGUGCUGACACUGCUGACCCCCCAACCAUGCUGAGGAGCACCGUCUACGUCUUUGUCACUGAGAGCACGGCGCUCGGCCCAGCAGCAAAACACUGCUGGGGAGCGCUUGUUGGAGAUGUAGAAGAUGCCCCUCCUCCAGCUCUGAAUCAGAGUCUGCAUUUUGACCAGAUCCCCGGCGAUUCCCAGGCUCAUUCACCUUCACUGGGCAGUGCAGCAGCACUGUCCGUUAGGACUUUCUGUGACGAUGGGAAUGUUCCAUGCUGGCACUGUCCAAUACACUAGUUACCAGCCACGGGUGACGGUUGAGCAUUGGAAAUAUGGCUAGUGUGACUGGGCAGCUGAAUUUUUUAAAUUCUAUUUAGCUUUAACUAAUUUAAAUAGCCUCAUGUGGCUAGUGGCUUCCGUCUGUCAGCACAGGUCCAGAGUAACCCAGCCCAGAGGGCCCGUAGAGAUUGUCAGUGUGCAGUUGGGGAAAAGGUUCAGAGAGGGAUCAGAACCUGCCUGAGGUCCCUCACUGAGUCAGU